GACAGAGGGUGCAAACGUUGCUCGGAAUUACUGGGCGUAAAGCGCGUGUAGGCGGACCUGCAAGUCGGACGUGAAAGCCCUGGGCUCAACCCAGGAACUGCAUCCGAAACUGCGGGCCUGGAGUGGUGGAGAGGGAAGCAGAAUUCCUGGUGUAGAGGUGAAAUUCGUAGAUAUCAGGAGGAACACCGGUGGCGAAGGCGGCUUGCCAGAACGCGCUCGACGGUGAGGGAUGAAAGCUGGGGGAGCAAACCGG
rnacentral:rRNA from 1 species